rnacentral:rRNA from 1 species
GAUGAACGCUGGCGGCGUGCCUAAUACAUGCAAGUCGAGCGAGCAGACGAGGAGCUUGCUCCUCUGACGUUAGCGGCGGACGGGUGAGUAACACGUGGAUAACCUACCUAUAAGACUGGGAUAACUUCGGGAAACCGGAGCUAAUACCGGAUAAUAUAUUGAACCGCAUGGUUCAAUAGUGAAAGACGGUUUUGCUGUCACUUAUAGAUGGAUCCGCGCCGCAUUAGCUAGUUGGUAAGGUAACGGCUUACCAAGGCAACGAUGCGUAGCCGACCUGAGAGGGUGAUCGGCCACACUGGAACUGAGACACGGUCCAGACUCCUACGGGAGGCAGCAGUAGGGAAUCUUCCGCAAUGGGCGAAAGCCUGACAGAGCAACGCCGCGUGAGUGAUGAAGGUCUUCGGAUCGUAAAACUCUGUUAUUAGGGAAGAACAAAUGUGUAAGUAACUAUGCACGUCUUGACGGUACCUAAUCAGAAAGCCACGGCUAACUACGUG